rnacentral:rRNA from 1 species
GUCUACGGCCAUGCUACCCUGAACACAUGCGAUCUCGGAAGCUAAGCAGAGUCAGGCCUGGUUAGUACUUGGAUGGGAGACCACUUAGGAAGACCAGGUGCUAUAGGCA